GUCAUUCGUUCAUUUCGUCAAACAUGUAAUUGCAAAAUUUCAGUAAUAUUGUACUCAUUUUUUAAAUAACUUAUUUAUACAAAUUCCAGUUAUCUUAGCAAGCCGAACGUAGCAUUACCAUCCAAACUGAAUUCCCUUAAUUUAAAUGCGUGAUUGUUUAUGUUCAUCUACACCGACUGCUGAAA
rnacentral:lncRNA from 1 species